rnacentral:rRNA from 1 species
AACGAACGCUGGCGGCAUGCCUAACACAUGCAAGUCGAACGAAGCCUUCGGGUUUAGUGGCGCACGGGUGCGUAACGCGUGGGAAUCUGCCCUUGGGUUCGGAAUAACAGUUAGAAAUGACUGCUAAUACCGAAUGAUGUCUUCGGACCAAAGAUUUAUCGCCCAAGGAUGAGCCCGCGUCGGAUUAGCUAGUUGGUGAGGUAAAGGCUCACCAAGGCGACGAUCCGUAGCUGGUCUGAGAGGAUGAUCAGCCACACUGGGACUGAGACACGGCCCAGACUCCUACGGGAGGCAGCAGUGGGGAAUAUUGGACAAUGGGCGCAAGCCUGAUCCAGCCAUGCCGCGUGAGUGAUGAAGGCCUUAGGGUUGUAAAGCUCUUUUGCCGGGGGACGAUAAUGACGGUACCCGGAGAAUAAGUCCCGGCUAACUUCGUGCCAGCAGCCGCGGUAAU